rnacentral:rRNA from 1 species
UACGUAGGGGGCAAGCGUUGUCCGGAUUUAUUGGGCGUAAAGAGCUCGUAGGCGGCUCACUAAGUCGGAUGUGAAAACUCCAGGCUCAACCUGGAGACGCCAUUCGAUACUGGUGUGGCUUGAGUUCGGUAGGGGAGCACGGAAUUCCUGGUGUAGCGGUGAAAUGCGCAGAUAUCAGGAAGAACACCAAUGGCGAAGGCAGCUCUCUGGGACGGUACUGACGCUGAGACGCGAAAGCGUGGGGAGCGAACAGG